CGAGAUUUUUGGAAAUACAUAUAAUUUGUCUGAUUUCAACGCAUUUAUUCACAAGUACAUUAACAAUAUGUUCAAGUGUCAAAAAUAAAAAUAACCGUAUGACAUCAUUGCCUUAGAAGUGUUUUCAUUGUAGUAUACACACUUAAUGUGACGCUGCUGAAUCUUACACAUUCUCAAAUUUUAAGUUCGAUAUCGAAAGCAUCAUGUCUCUUCUAUUCGACCGUCUAUGGACAGUUCCUGCAAUAUUGAAAUGUUUAUGUUUGAUAUUCGAACUCGUCGGGUUUAUUUUGUCAAAAAUAAGUUUGGAUACUACAUGGGGCUCUGCUGACGCAUUCUGUAUCAUAACUAUGAUCUUAUUCGUACCAACCGCAAUUCUAUUUGUUUUGUACAUGCUGAAAGCUGAUAACAUAUUUGGCGUAAAUUUGGAUAAAAUUGAGCUGUACUUUGCAGCUGUGGCGGCACUUGUUUUUCUGGUGAUAUCUUCUCUAAUUGUCGUAUUAAAAUUGUCGCUUUUAACAGCAGGGUCGGUCUUUGGGUAUUUAACUAUGGUUACAUAUGCAAUAGAAGCAUAUUUGAGAUACAGAUCACUUUACUGAUCGAUCCAAGGAAAAAAGAUAGAAUCUGAAUUGCCUUUAUAAGAUCACUUCAACGGAGAACACUCGUAUUUAUAUGAGCUAAAAUGCAAUUUGGUAUUUGAGUUGAUGUAUAAUGGAUCUAAUUUUAGUCGGAAAUUGUAUAAAAUAGAUGAAUUCUCCUAAAUAUACAUAGAAUAUCAAUAAUA